rnacentral:rRNA from 1 species
UACGGGGGGGGCAAGCGUUGUUCGGAAUUACUGGGCGUAAAGGGCUCGUAGGUGGCCAACUAAGUCAGACGUGAAAUCCCUCGGCUUAACCGGGGAACUGCGUCUGAUACUGGAUGGCUUGAGUUUGGGAGAGGGAUGCGGAAUUCCAGGUGUAGCGGUGAAAUGCGUAGAUAUUCGGAAGAACACCAGUGGCGAAGGCGACACACUGGCCCGUAACUGACGCUGAGGCGCGAAAGCGUGGGGAGCAAACAGG